GCCGGUAUAGUUCAGUGGUAAAACAUCCAUGGUGGGGUCUCUGACUCUGCGGGAUUGGAAGGCUCUCGUUCGAUUCGGGAUGCUGGCC